rnacentral:rRNA from 1 species
UACAGAGGGGGCAAGCGUUGUUCGGAAUCACUGGGCGUAAAGGGUGCGUAGGCGGGUCUUUAAGUCAGGGGUGAAAUCCUGGAGCUCAACUCCAGAACUGCCUUUGAUACUGAGGAUCUUGAGUAUGGGAGAGGUGAGUGGAACUGCGAGUGUAGAGGUGAAAUUCGUAGAUAUUCGCAAGAACACCAGUGGCGAAGGCGGCUCACUGGCCCAUAACUGACGCUGAGGCACGAAAGCGUGGGGAGCAAACAGGG